CAAAAACUGGCACCACAGGGUGGCCAGGAGUUGGAGUGGGGGGCGCACUGGCUGCCAGCUCUUUUUCUAUUUCUAACUCAGUGCCGGGCACUGGACUCUCACAUUCAACCUAGCAGUUUGGAGGUGGCAAUGGGCAUGUUCACAGCAGGACAGGAUGCUCUCUGGAUGAAAAGUUUGGAAAGAAAACCAGAAAGGAAGCCUGCUCCCGUCAGGAAUGCUCCGAACAUACGCUGGCAUCUGUGCAGAAAACAGGAGUAACUGCAGCAUGAAUCCUCUGCGGCUCACCCUGCCUCCUUUUCAGCUCUUCCCAAGGCCUGUGCUUCCUUCCGCGAAAGGCAGCCUCACUGCGGGAAGACCUGCUCACCACCCUUCACAGAACCACAGCUCCAAGAAAAAGCAUGAUGUGGCCAAGGCAAGUCUGUCGCCUGGGGCUGGCUCCCCUCACCCCACUGCAAUAAUGAAGGACCUCUCUCUGUGGGUAUCUUUUGUCUGCUCCAUAUUUCUAAAGCAGAUGCUGCCACUGCAAACAUAGUGAUUUAUAUUAAAUAUCUAAAGAGAAAUAGGGCAGUGCUUGUUUCAAAGAAAUUGAGAGGGGAAGAAAGGAAAUAGUAAGGAAUAGAAAAAAUGGAGAAGUUAAGAGUGUGUUAUCAACAGCCCAGCUACUUGGGAGGCUGAAGCCGGAGGAUCACUGAGUUGGGGAGGUCAAGGCUGGUUUGGGCAACAUAGCAAGACCCCGAUUCUUAUAAAUAGAUAAACAAAUACAUGUAUCCCUUCACCAAACCUUAAGGAAGAUACACUUCUGACAAAAUUAGAGUUUAGAGGAUGUUAAACAUCUAAUUCAAAGACACUUAAAAGACAGAGAUAAAACCAAAACCUGGCUGGGCAUGGUGGUGCAUGCCUGUAAUCCCAGCACUGGGGAGACUGAGGCAUCAGGAUCAUUGCAAAAUUGACACCAGCCAGGGCUACAAAGUGAGCAAGCCUAAACUGCAUAGUGAGACCCUGUAUCAAAAGACGAAAAAAAAAAAAAGACCGAAACCGGAUCUAUCUGGCUCCCAAGUCCAGACUAUACUGAUGUUCCUAGGGUGAUGUACAUAGGAUAUCUUAAGGAGUAAAAAAC
rnacentral:lncRNA from 1 species